ACUAUUUAGUUGGCCUCUUAGUAUAUAUAGGUCAUUAGGUCAUCAUAAAAGUGCAUUAAUUGGUGUUGUGUACAAUACAUAUUACAAUUAUAAUUAAUUGUGAUAUUGAAAGAUCAUUGCAGCUAAAAUAUAACAUUCCAUACUAAAGCGCUAAAACAAUGAGAUGCAUAUCUGUCGGUUGCACAUCAGGGUACAAGAGUAACUUCGAAAAGAACAUGAUAUUGUCCGUAAAAAAAUUUUUUACAAUAACAAUGGUGACAUUAUUCAAGAGAUUACAUUAAAGAGACCAUAUCUUAAGCAAGGUGCGAUACCUACACUAUUUCCUUGGACAGAAUUUCUAAAUGAAAAUAAUAUGACAGACAAUACAGAAAGUUUAUUAUCAAGAAAAAGUAAUAACACCG